rnacentral:rRNA from 1 species
GACGAACGCUGUCGGCGUGCUUAACACAUGCAAGUCGAACGGAAAGGCCCUGCUUUUGUGGGGUGCUCGAGUGGCGAACGGGUGAGUAACACGUGAGUAACCUGCCCUUGACUUUGGGAUAACUUCAGGAAACUGGGGCUAAUACCGGAUAGGAGCUCCUGCUGCAUGGUGGGGGUUGGAAAGUUUCGGCGGUUGGGGAUGGACUCGCGGCUUAUCAGCUUGUUGGUGGGGUAGUGGCUUACCAAGGCUUUGACGGGUAGCCGGCCUGAGAGGGUGACCGGCCACAUUGGGACUGAGAUACGGCCCAGACUCCUACGGGAGGCAGCAGUGGGGAAUAUUGCACAAUGGGCGGAAGCCUGAUGCAGCAACGCCGCGUGCGGGAUGACGGCCUUCGGGUUGUAAACCGCUUUCGCCUGUGACGAAGCGUGAGUGACGGUAAUGGGUAAAGAAGCACCGGCUAACUACGUGCCGGCAGCCGCGGUGAUACGUAGGGUGCGAGCGUUGUCCGGAUUUAUUGGGCGUAAAGGGCUCGUAGGUGGUUGAUCGCGUCGGAAGUGUAAUCUUGGGGCUUAACCCUGAGCGUGCUUUCGAUACGGGUUGACUUGAGGAAGGUAGGGGAGAAUGGAAUUCCUGGUGGAGCGGUGGAAUGCGCAGAUAUCAGGAGGAACACCAGUGGCGAAGGCGGUUCUCUGGGCCUCUCCUGACGCUGAGGAGCGAAAGCGUGGGGAGCGAACAGGCUUAGAUACCCUGGUAGUCCACGCUGUAAACGGUGGGUACUAGGUGUGGGGUCCAUUCCACGGGUUCCGUGCCGUAGCUAACGCUUUAAGUACCCCGCCUGGGGAGUACGGCCGCAAGGCUAAAACUCAAAGGAAUUGACGGGGCCCCGCACAAGCGGCGGAGCAUGCGGAUUAAUUCGAUGCAACGCGUAGAACCUUACCUGGGUUUGACAUGGAUCGGGAGUGCUCAGAGAUGGGUGUGCCUCUUUUGGGGUCGGUUCACAGGUGGUGCAUGCCUGUCGUCAGCUCGUGUCGUGAGAUGUUGGGUUAAGUCCCGCAACGAGCGCAACCCUUGUUCACUGUUGCCAGCACGUUAUGGUGGGGACUCAGUGGAGACCGCCGGGGUCAACUCGGAGGAAGGUGGGGAUGACGUCAAGUCCUCAUGCCCCUUAUGUCCAGGGCUUCACGCAUGCUACAAUGGCUGGUACAGAGAGUGGCGAGCCUGUGAGGGUGAGCGAAUCUCGGAAAGCCGGUCUCAGUUCGGAUUGGGGUCUGCAACUCGACCUCAUGAAGUCGGAGUCGCUAGUAAUCGCAGAUCAGCAACGCUGCGGUGAAUACGUUCCCGGG